rnacentral:rRNA from 1 species
AUGAACGCUAGCGGCAGGCUUAACACAUGCAAGUCGAGGGGCAGCAUAAUGGAUAGCAAUAUCUAUGGUGGCGACCGGCGCACGGGUGCGUAACGCGUAUGCAACCUACCUUUAACAGGGGGAUAACACUGAGAAAUUGGUACUAAUACCCCAUAAUAUCAUAGAAGGCAUCUUUUAUGGUUGAAAAUUCCGAUGGUUAGAGAUGGGCAUGCGUUGUAUUAGCUAGUUGGUGGGGUAACGGCUCACCAAGGCGACGAUACAUAGGGGGACUGAGAGGUUAACCCCCCACACUGGUACUGAGACACGGACCAGACUCCUACGGGAGGCAGCAGUGAGGAAUAUUGGUCAAUGGACGCAAGUCUGAACCAGCCAUGCCGCGUGCAGGAUGACGGCUCUAUGAGUUGUAAACUGCUUUUGUACGAGGGUAAACGCAGAUACGUGUAUCUGUCUGAAAGUAUCGUACGAAUAAGGAUCGGCUAACUCCGUGCCAGCAGCCGCGGUAAUACGGAGGAUUCAAGCGUUAUCCGGAUUUAUUGGGUUUAAAGGGUGCGUAGGCGGUUUGAUAAGUUAGAGGUGAAAUUUCGGGGCUCAACCCUGAACGUGCCUCUAAUACUGUUGAGCUAGAGAGUAGUUGCGGUAGGCGGAAUGUAUGGUGUAGCGGUGAAAUGCUUAGAGAUCAUACAGAACACCGAUUGCGAAGGCAGCUUACCAAACUAUAUCUGACGUUGAGGCACGAAAGCGUGGGGAGCAAACAGGAUUAGAUACCCUGGUAGUCCACGCAGUAAACGAUGAUAACUCGUUGUCGGCGAUACACAGUCGGUGACUAAGCGAAAGCGAUAAGUUAUCCACCUGGGGAGUACGUUCGCAAGAAUGAAACUCAAAGGAAUUGACGGGGGCCCGCACAAGCGGAGGAACAUGUGGUUUAAUUCGAUGAUACGCGAGGAACCUUACCCGGGCUUAAAUUGCAGAUGAAUUACGGUGAAAGCCGUAAGCCGCAAGGCAUCUGUGAAGGUGCUGCAUGGUUGUCGUCAGCUCGUGCCGUGAGGUGUCGGCUUAAGUGCCAUAACGAGCGCAACCCCUCUCCUUAGUUGCCAUCAGGUCAUGCUGGGCACUCUGGGGACACUGCCACCGUAAGGUGUGAGGAAGGUGGGGAUGACGUCAAAUCAGCACGGCCCUUACGUCCGGGGCUACACACGUGUUACAAUGGUAGGUACAGAGGGCAGCUACCCAGCGAUGGGAUGCGAAUCUCGAAAGCCUAUCUCAGUUCGGAUUGGAGGCUGAAACCCGCCUCCAUGAAGUUGGAUUCGCUAGUAAUCGCGCAUCAGCCAUGGCGCGGUGAAUACGUUCCCGGGCCUUGUACACACCGCCCGUCAAGCCAUGGGAGCCGGGGGUGCCUGAAGUUCGUGACCGCAAGGAGCGACCUAGGGCAAAACUGGUGACUGGGGCU